AGUGAACGCUGUCGGUAGGCCUAACACAUGCAAGUCGARCGGCAGCACAGUAAGAGCUUGCUCUUACGGGUGUCGAGUGUCGGACGGGUGAGGAAUACACCGGAAUCUACUUUUUCGUGGGGGAUAACGUAGGGAAACUUACGCUAAUACCGCAUACGCCCUACGGGGGAAAGCCGGGGACCUUCGGGCCUGGCGCGGAUAAAUGAGCCGAUGUCCGAUUAGCUAGUUGGCGGGGUAAGAGCCCACCAAGGCGACGAUCGGUAGCUGGUCUGAGAGGAUGAUCAACCACACUGGAACUGAGACACGGUCCAGACUCCUACGGGAGGCAACAGUGGGGAAUAUUGGACAAUGGGCGCAAGCCUGAUCCAGCCAUACCGCGUGGGUGAAGAAGGCCUUCGGGUUGUAAAGCCCUUUUGUUGGGAAAGAAAAGCAGCCGGUUAAUACCCGGUUGUUCUGACGGUACCCAAAGAAUAAGCACCGGCUAACUUCGUGCCAGCAGCCGCGGUAAUACGAAGGGUGCAAGCGUUACUCGGAAUUACUGGGCGUAAAGCGUGCGUAGGUGGUUGUUUAAGUCUGUCGUGAAAGCCCUGGGCUCAACCUGGGAAUUGCGAUGGAAACUGGGCGACUAGAGUGUGGCAGAGGGUAGUGGAAUUCCUGGUGUAGCAGUGAAAUGCGUAGAGAUCAGGAGGAACAUCCGUGGCGAAGGCGACUGCCUGGGCCAACACUGACACUGAGGCACGAAAGCGUGGGGAGCAAACAGGAUUAGAUACCCUGGUAGU
rnacentral:rRNA from 1 species